GUUUGGGCGGAAUCCUGUUGCUGAAACCCAUGGUUAUUCAUGUCCCAUGUUAUUGCAGGGGAAUAAAUCACGCCUGAGCUCUACCCACUUCGAGUCCAGAGAGUUUUAUUCACACAGCGCUGGAAAGAGAAGCUGACCAGGGGUUACAUUGGUGCCGUGAGCCGUCAAUCGAGUGUUUGGACGGUGGACUCCUCUCAGCAACGUGGGCCAGUUUCAGCGCUGCACGGGAAUAAAUCACGCCUGAGCUCUACCCACUUCGAGUCCAGAGAGUUUUAUUCACACAGCGCUGGAAAGAGAAGCUGACCAGGGGUUACAUAAGCAAUCACAAUUACAUCACUGAAACAACAUUGGAACAAUUACAACAUUUUCUGAUGUCACAAACUACAAAACUCUUCUUUACCAAAGGCAACCGUUUAACAUACAUAAAGACCUCAUCUCAUUUA
ensembl:lncRNA